UCAAUCUGAGUCCUCGCCGCCGAACUCUUGAAGGUGACCAAAUGCUCCUCCCUUUUCUGAAAUGUCGAGUUCGCAAUCAGAAGCUCUGAAGCCCUGGCGAAAUCAAGCAGCGAAGUGCCUCCGGUUCCUAACCCCAAAGCCGAAGCCACCGUGCGCCUCAUCAUAGCCACCAGCAUCAGUCCCAAUAUGACCAUUAAAGUCCCCUCCAAUAACUAACUUCU
rnacentral:lncRNA from 1 species